rnacentral:rRNA from 1 species
CCUACGGUGGCUGCAGUGGGGAAUAUUGGACAAUGGGCGAAAGCCUGAUCCAGCCAUGCCGCGUGUGUGAAGAAGGCCUUCGGGUUGUAAAGCACUUUCAGUGGGGAAGAAAGCCUUGGGGCUAAUACCCUCGAGGAAGGACAUCACCCACAGAAGAAGCACCGGCUAACUCCGUGCCAGCAGCCGCGGUAAUACGGAGGGUGCGAGCGUUAAUCGGAAUUACUGGGCGUAAAGCGCGCGUAGGCGGUCUGAUAAGCCGGUUGUGAAAGCCCCGGGCUCAACCUGGGAACGGCAUCCGGAACUGUCAGGCUAGAGUGCAGGAGAGGAAGGUAGAAUUCCCGGUGUAGCAGUGAAAUGCGUAGAGAUCGGGAGGAAUACCAGUGGCGAAGGCGGCCUUCUGGACUGACACUGACGCUGAGGUGCGAAAGCGUGGGUAGCAAACAGGAUUAGAUACCCGGGUAGUC